UUUAUUUAAAGAAUACAAGAUUUCAAAUUAUACAUGAUGGUGAUCAUUGUUUAGGUCUCCAAUAUGUAUCAAAUUUAAAUUUAGUACCAGGAAAAGACUGAUAGAAACCAUCAUCUCUCACAGAAAAAUAAGUGCCUGGAUAAUAAGGUUCAUCAUAGAAAUCAUAUCCGACCCAAGCAUUGGACCAGUCCGACCACGUAGCACUGCAUUCCACAAUUUUUUCCUUAUGCAUUGUUUCAUAAUCGUAGUUACCACCCACAUUAAGUUUAAUAUGUGAAUCAUUGCCACAAGAAACUAUUAAAGAUCCUAAAGUGUUGUUGGGCAAGUCAUUUUUUAUUGAGAUGAAAACUUUGUGUGGCUCAACGGGAGGUAACCAUCUUGAUAUUGU
rnacentral:lncRNA from 1 species